GGUUUCCGGUUUGGGUGUGGCCGCAUGGCGUGCUGUGGUGCAGGUGGCCGAAGGGGGCGUUACUGUUGCGACUGGCAUCCGCAUCCGGCAGAUGUAGAUGGAACCAAAGUCCAGAAGUUACGCGUCACCCUUGCUCUACAGCCAAACAUGCAGGACUCUAGUAACCCGCGAAAUGAUGGGAUAGCGUUGCAAAUCCUUAAAAGAGUCUUAACGGAGAAGGGAAAAUGUUACAUUGUCAAAGUCCCAAAGCCUUUCAGCCUGAAGCCAGGAACAAUUGUUCAAAGUUUCUUUGGAACAUCAAGGAAGGAAAUCCAGAUUUUACUUUAAGUGCAAUGGGGAGUCAUUAAGGAUUUUGUGUAGAUACAGCAAAAAGACAACAAUCUUCAAGCCACAAUGGCCCUCACCAGAACCCAGCCAUGUGGUCAGCCUGAUCUCGGACUUCACAGCCAGCAGAACUGUGAGAAUUAAAUCUUAUGUUUAAAUCACCUA
ensembl:lncRNA UBA6-DT UBA6 divergent transcript